AUGCUUGCUCUCUCUUGAGAGCGGCGGACGGGUGAGUAAUGCCUAGGAAUCUGCCUGGUAGUGGGGGAUAACGCUCGGAAACGGACGCUAAUACCGCAUACGUCCUACGGGAGAAAGCAGGGGACCUUCGGGCCUUGCGCUAUCAGAUGAGCCUAGGUCGGAUUAGCUAGUUGGUGAGGUAAUGGCUCACCAAGGCGACGAUCCGUAACUGGUCUGAGAGGAUGAUCAGUCACACUGGAACUGAGACACGGUCCAGACUCCUACGGGAGGCAGCAGUGGGGAAUAUUGGACAAUGGGCGAAAGCCUGAUCCAGCCAUGCCGCGUGUGUGAAGAAGGUCUUCGGAUUGUAAAGCACUUUAAGUUGGGAGGAAGGGCAGUUACCUAAUACGUAUCUGUUUUGACGUUACCGACAGAAUAAGCACCGGCUAACUCUGUGCCAGCAGCCGCGGUAAUACAGAGGGUGCAAGCGUUAAUCGGAAUUACUGGGCGUAAAGCGCGCGUAGGUGGUUCGUUAAGUUGGAUGUGAAAGCCCCGGGCUCAACCUGGGAACUGCAUUCAAAACUGACGAGCUAGAGUAUGGUAGAGGGUGGUGGAAUUUCCUGUGUAGCGGUGAAAUGCGUAGAUAUAGGAAGGAACACCAGUGGCGAAGGCGACCACCUGGACUGAUACUGACACUGAGGUGCGAAAGCGUGGGGAGCAAACAGGAUUAGAUACCCUGGUAGUCCACGCCGUAAACGAUGUCAACUAGCCGUUGGGAGCCUUGAGCUCUUAGUGGCGCAGCUAACGCAUUAAGUUGACCG
rnacentral:rRNA from 1 species